AAUUCUCUCCUUGUUCAGGUCCUGUGUCAAACAGUAAUCAGGAAAAAAUUGAACAUAACAAUGAAUAUUUUUGGUUAGUUGACUAACAGAAAUCAAAUUGAAUUGAAAUUUGAGACUAUACAAAACAUCAUAAAGGGUGAGAGUAGGAGUCAAUUGAAUAGUUCCUUUAUAUGUAAUGGGGGCAAGAGUACCAUCAAGAAGUUUAACAGUGGAAUGAGGUACGGAAAUAGUGUUUUUAAGGCUAUCAAAAUUAUGUGUCAUGUGGUUGGAUGCUACACUAUCCAUAAUCCAUGUAUGGAUAAUAUUGGAAAAUGUCAAGGUGUGAACUAUACCUGCCAUAUGAACCUCCUAAGAACACCUUGAAGACUCUCCACCAUUAAGAGACUACAAAUAGGACAUUAGUUGUUGGAUUUGUGCCUGAGUGAACUGUGGUGCACGGGUGGUUCCAGUAUUUGCACUAUCGGUGCCAACACUAGAAGUAUCGGAGCAGUAAUCUGUGCUACUUGUGCUUUGACUAGAGCAGUACCUUUUCAGCAUUAUUAAACUUGAAAUUAAUUGGAUAUCCCACCAAUUUAAAA
rnacentral:misc_RNA from 1 species